GAAGCGGAAAGCCAAUCCCGCGACAGGGCCUUUGCCGGCAGUGGGCUCGAUGAAAGGGAUGUGUCAUUCUGGCUGUUGUUCCUACGCCGUACGCUGUGGUACCUUUAUUGCUGAAAAUCACCCUAAAGUUCUGUCUAGUAUGCGCUGUGGUUUGCCGCUGGGAAGUGCAGCUUUCCCUCACCACCAAUGACCAUAGGGAAUUGGUGUUCAGGGGCCUAUAAUUCGUAUAAAUCCGGGAAGUUGAAUAUGUAUCUUUCGAGGCGGUCAGGAAGAACAUGUGAUAAAUCCAGAAGUCAAAAUGCCUUGUUCCUGUUGCAGCGGCUCGGUAGGGAUGGAUUUAU
rnacentral:sRNA from 1 species